rnacentral:rRNA from 1 species
GAUCAUGGCUCGAGGACAGCUGGCGGCAUGCCUAACACAUGCAAGUCGAACGGAACUUGUUGAAUGAAGUUUUCGGAUGGAUUUCAGCAAGUUUAGUGGCGAACGGGUGAGUAACGCGUGAGAAACCUGCCUUUCAGUGGGGGACAACAGUUGGAAACGACUGCUAAUACCGCAUAAUGUAUUUUAGGGGCAUCCCUUGAAUACCAAAGCUUUAUGUGCUGAAAGAUGGUCUCGCGUCUGAUUAGCUAGUUGGUGAGGUAACGGCUCACCAAGGCGACGAUCAGUAGCCGGUCUGAGAGGAUGAACGGCCACAUUGGGACUGAGAUACGGCCCAGACUCCUACGGGAGGCAGCAGUGGGGAAUAUUGGGCAAUGGGGGAAACCCUGACCCAGCAACGCCGCGUGAAGGAAGAAGGCCUUCGGGUUGUAAACUUCUUUUAGCAGGGACGAAGAACGUGACGGUACCUGCAGAAAAAGCAACGGCUAACUACGUG